rnacentral:rRNA from 1 species
UGCCAGCCGCCGCGGUAAUACAGAGGGUGCAAGCGUUAAUCGGAAUGACUGGGCGUAAAGGGCGUGUAGGUGGUUUGACAAGUGAGGUGUGAAAACCCUGGGCUUAACCUAGGACGUGCAUCUGAUACUGUCAGACUAGAGUAUAGGAGAGGAAAGGGGAAUUUCCGGUGUAGCGGUGAAAUGCGUAGAUAUCGGAAGGAACACCAGUGGCGAAGGCGCCUUUCUGGCCUAAUACUGACACUGAGGCGCGAAAGCGUGGGUAGCGAACAGGAUUAGAUA